UACGUAGGGUGCGAGCGUUGUCCGGAAUUAUUGGGCGUAAAGAGCUUGUAGGUGGUUUGUCGCGUCUGCUGUGAAAAUCCGAGGCUCAACCUCGGACUUGCAGUGGGUACGGGCAGACUAGAGUGUGGUAGGGGAGACUGGAAUUCCUGGUGUAGCGGUGGAAUGCGCAGAUAUCAGGAGGAACACCUAUAGCGAAGGCAGCUCGCUGGGACGACACUGACGCUGAGACGCGAAAGCGUGGGGAGCGAACAGG
rnacentral:rRNA from 1 species